AUGGGCCGGAGGAGGAGGGCGAGACGGCAAGCCAAGGGGGCAAGAAAAGGCAGCCGCGAGAGGCGUGGCCGGAUGGGGCGGGCGGGCCGGACUAGUCGUCUCGGCGCCGUCAUGGAGCUCUCGCCGUUCACGCAAACGACCGCGCCAGCUGCCUUUCCGUGGCAUGCAAUUCCCCCGUGGCCCACGACGCCGGGAUCGAUCGGCCGAGGUGGACGUCCGCGUCCGCGUCCGUUCUCCGGCGUUGAACGACCGGUACAGUUGCCGUAUCGGGAAAAGGGGGCCUGGGAGGGAGGUUGGCGGGGCGGCAUCCGCGGUGCGCGGUGCGCGCCGCGGCCACGUAGGUGCCGGCGUACGCGGGUGGCUUUGUCGUGCGCGCCUGCAAUGCAAUGCGAUGCGUCUUCUGCCGUGCGUGCGUGCGUGCGGGCGGGCGGUGGUGAGCUGACGGCGAUGGUUCGGCGGUGCGCGUUGCGUGCUCGCCUCUGGUCUUUCUGGUGGGCUGGCUACUGCGUGUCGUACUUGGGUACGACCCUGAGAUCAGCGUGCGUGGGUGAUGGGGUGGUGGAUGCGCGCACGUAG
rnacentral:rRNA from 1 species